GGCGCACGGGUGCGUAACGCGUAUACAAUCUGCCUUUCACUGGGGGAUAGCCCGAAGAAAUUUGGAUUAAUACCCCAUAGUAUAGAGUCACGGCAUCGUGGAACUAUUAAAGCCUUGGUGGUGAAAGAUGAGUAUGCGUUCUAUUAGCUAGUUGGAGAGGUAACGGCUCCCCAAGGCUACGAUAGAUAGGGGUUCUGAGAGGGAUGUCCCCCACACUGGUACUGAGAUACGGACCAGACUCCUACGGGAGGCAGCAGUGAGGAAUAUUGGACAAUGGUCGGAAGACUGAUCCAGCCAUGCCGCGUGCAGGAUGAAGGUCCUAUGGAUUGUAAACUGCUUUUGUAAGGGAAGAAUAAGGAGUACGCGUACUUUGAUGACGGUACCUUAUGAAUAAGCAUCGGCUAACUCCGUGCCAGCAGCCGCGGUAAUACGGAGGAUGCAAGCGUUAUCCGGAAUCAUUGGGUUU
rnacentral:rRNA from 1 species